rnacentral:rRNA from 1 species
GACGAACGCUGGCGGCGUGCUUAACACAUGCAAGUCGGACGGAAAGGCCCUGCUUUUGUGGGGUGCUCGAGUGGCGAACGGGUGAGUAACACGUGAGUAACCUGCCCUUGACUUUGGGAUAACUUCAGGAAACUGGGGCUAAUACCGGAUAGGAGCUCCUGCUGCAUGGUGGGGGUUGGAAAGUUUCGGCGGUUGGGGAUGGACUCGCGGCUUAUCAGCUUGUUGGUGGGGUAGUGGCUUACCAAGGCUUUGACGGGUAGCCGGCCUGAGAGGGUGACCGGCCACAUUGGGACUGAGAUACGGCCCAGAGUCCUACGGGAGGCAGCAGUGGGGAAUAUUGCACAAUGGGCGGAAGCCUGAUGCAGAAACGCCGCGUGCGGGAUGACGGCCUUCGGGGUGUAAACCGCUUUCGCCUGUGACGAAGCGUGAGUGACGGUAAUGGGUAAAGAAGCACCGGCUAACUACGUG